UACGAAGGGGGCUAGCGUUGCUCGGAAUCACUGGGCGUAAAGCGCACGUAGGCGGAUUCUUAAGUCGGUGGUGAAAUUUCGGAGCUUAACUCCGAAACUGCAUUCGAUACUGCGGUGCUUGAGGACUGGAGAGGAGACUGGAAUUCAUGGUGUAGCAGUGAAAUGCGUAGAGAUCAUGAGGAAGACCAGUGGCGAAGGCGGG
rnacentral:rRNA from 1 species